UACAUUCGAAUGAAGUUUUCAUAAUCUCUGUUCUUUUAAGUGAACUGCUUCUUCAUUCUUUCAACAGUUUUGGGUGAAAGGUCAGAGAAAUAUAUUUCUGUUAAUUUUUUAUAAAUUAAAAUAGAAGUUGAUGGAAGGAAGAUGGUGUGCGGCAGUGAACUUUGACUCUAUGACAGUUGACAGAUAUUUCAGGAGUUGGGUAAUUGAUGAAGGCCAAUCUUAUCAAUGAUCCAGAGGGCUUAAGACCAGAGAUAAUCGAGACCUAGAGCGGAACAGGUGGAAAGCAAGUGGACUACAUGAACUAGGCUUCCUGGUAUUCUGAUAUGGUUUCAGUUUAAUUUUGGUUGUUGAGGUUCACUUAAAGCAAGGCAUCAUUGUAGAGGCGUAUCAUUUUUCCAUACAUUAGUAAUUCUCAUUGGGAGAUUGGCCAGGCCAGAUCUCAGCCUGAGCCUCUUUCUCCUCCACGCCGCCCUUCCUAGCCAAGUCGAUUUAUUAUGCUCGUCGAGAUGAGAUGGAGGAUGAAAUUUAAUUGGAAGAUUUCUGUAAAGGAAUUUUGGUUGUUUGGAUGAUUAUUUCUGUUAAGCCAAUUCUUUGUUUGUAUUGAAUAAUAUGGUAAUGAUAAAAGCUUUCACAUCU